UACGUAGGGCGCAAGCGUUGUCCGGAAUUAUUGGGCGUAAAGAGCUCGUAGGCGGCUUGUCACGUCGAUUGUGAAAGCCCGAGGCUUAACCUCGGGUCUGCAGUCGAUACGGGCUAGCUAGAGUGUGGUAGGGGAGAUCGGAAUUCCUGGUGUAGCGGUGAAAUGCGCAGAUAUCAGGAGGAACACCGGUGGCGAAGGCGGAUCUCUGGGCCAUUACUGACGCUGAGAAGCGAAAGCGUGGGGAGCGAACAGG
rnacentral:rRNA from 1 species